GCCCGGAUGGUCUAGUGGUAUGAUUCUCGCUUGUAAGUCGGCCUUAUCAACGCCUUAUCAUCAGUCCUUCGAUACUAAUAAAUCAUUACAGUGGGCUGUACAGUACCAAUCUGCGAGAGGUCCCGCGUUCAAACCGCGGUUCGGGCC